GACUGAGAUCAGGACUCUUAUCGUACUGAGCGUGGCCCUGUUCUCCAGGCGCUGCAGAGACCCCAGCUUUCAAGGACAUGCAGCUUUUCUUGUAUGAUGUUCCUGUCCUCCUCCGUAUUGGCAAUCCCUCCCGGCUCUGUGUCCCACUCCCACUUCUUGUGCCAAGAUCACUAAUAAAAGUGUUGAGUAA